rnacentral:rRNA from 1 species
AGAGUUUGAUCCUGGCUCAGAACGAACGCUGGCGGCAGGCCUAACACAUGCAAGUCGAGCGCGCCUUCGGGUGAGCGGCGGACGGGUUAGUAACGCGUGGGAACGUGCCCUUCUCUACGGAAUAGCCUCUGGAAACGGAGAGUAAUACCGUAUACGCCCUUUGGGGGAAAGAUUUAUCGGAGAAGGAUCGGCCCGCGUUAGAUUAGGUAGUUGGUGGGGUAAUGGCCUACCAAGCCUACGAUCUAUAGCUGGUUUUAGAGGAUGAUCAGCAACACUGGGACUGAGACACGGCCCAGACUCCUACGGGAGGCAGCAGUGGGGAAUCUUAGACAAUGGGGGCAACCCUGAUCUAGCCAUGCCGCGUGAGUGAUGAAGGCCUUAGGGUCGUAAAGCUCUUUCGCCUGUGAUGAUAAUGACAGUAGCAGGUAAAGAAACCCCGGCUAACUCCGUGCCAGCAGCCGCGGUAAUACGGAGGGGGUUAGCGUUGUUCGGAAUUACUGGGCGUAAAGCGCGCGUAGGCGGAUUAGAAAGUUGGGGGUGAAAUCCCGGGGCUCAACCCCGGAACUGCCUCCAAAACUGCUAGUCUAGAGUUCGAGAGAGGUGAGUGGAAUUCCGAGUGUAGAGGUGAAAUUCGUAGAUAUUCGGAGGAACACCAGUGGCGAAGGCGGCUCACUGGCUCGAUACUGACGCUGAGGUGCGAAAGUGUGGGGAGCAAACAGGAUUAGAUACCCUGGUAGUCCACACCGUAAACGAUGAAUGCCAGUCGUCGGAUAGUAUACUAUUCGGUGACACACCUAACGGAUUAAGCAUUCCGCCUGGGGAGUACGGUCGCAAGAUUAAAACUCAAAGGAAUUGACGG